rnacentral:rRNA from 1 species
GAUGAACGCUGGCGGCGUGCCUAAUACAUGCAAGUCGAGCGAACGGACGAGAAGCUUGCUUCUCUGAUGUUAGCGGCGGACGGGUGAGUAACACGUGGAUAACCUACCUAUAAGACUGGGAUAACUUCGGGAAACCGGAGCUAAUACCGGAUAAUAUUUUGAACCGCAUGGUUCAAAAGAGAAAGACGGUCUUGCUGUCACUUAUAGAUGGAUCCGCGCUGCAUUAGCUAGUUGGUAAGGUAACGGCUUACCAAGGCAACGAUGCAUAGCCGACCUGAGAGGGUGAUCGGCCACACUGGAACUGAGACACGGUCCAGACUCCUACGGGAGGCAGCAGUAGGGAAUCUUCCGCAAUGGGCGAAAGCCUGACGGAGCAACGCCGCGUGAGUGAUGAAGGUCUUCGGAUCGUAAAACUCUGUUAUUAGGGAAGAACAUAUGUGUAAGUAACUGUGCACGUCUUGACGGUACCUAAUCAGAAAGCCACGGCUAACUACGUG